rnacentral:lncRNA from 1 species
UUCUGUACUCUGGGUGACUCAGAGAGGGAAGAGAUUCAGCCAGCACACUCCUCGCGAGCAAGAUUACUCUACUGACUGGCAGAGACAGGAGAGGUAGAUGUCCACGCCCACAGACCCUGGUGCGAUGCCCCACCCAGGGCCUUCGCCGGGGCCUGGGCCUUCCCCUGGGCCAAUUCUUGGGCCUAGUCCAGGACCAGGACCAUCCCCAGGUUCCGUCCACAGCAUGAUGGGGCCAAGUCCUGGACCUCCAAGUGUCUCCCAUCCUAUGCCGACGAUGGGGUCCACAGACUUCCCACAGGAAGGCAUGCAUCAAAUGCAUAAGCCAUCGAUGGUAUACAUGACAAGGGGAUUGUAGAAGACAUCCAUUGUGGAUCCAUGAAGGGCACUGGUAUGCGACCACCUCACCCAGGCAUGGGCCCUCCCCAGAGUCCAAUGGAUCAACACAGCCAAGUUAUAUGUCACCACACCCAUCUCCAUUAGGAGCCCCAGAGCACGUCUCCAGCCCUAUGUCUGGAGGAGGCCCAACUCCACCUCAGAUGCCACCAAGCCAGCCGGGGGCCCUCAUCCCAGGUGAUCCGCAGGCCAUGAGCCAGCCCAACAGAGGUCCCUCACCUUUCAGUCCUGUCCAGCUGCAUCAGCUUCGAGCUCAGAUUUUAGCUUAUAAAAUGCUGGCCCGAGGCCAGCCCCUCCCCGAAACGCUGCAGCUUGCAGUCCAGGGGAAAAGGACGUUGCCUGGCUUGCAGCAACAACAGCAGCAGCAACAGCAGCAGCAGCAGCAGCAGCAGCAGCAGCAGCAGCAGCAACAGCAGCCGCAGCAGCAGCCGCCGCAACCACAGACGCAGCAACAACAGCAGCCGGCCCUUGUUAACUACAACAGACCAUCUGCCCGGGGCCGGAGCUGAGCGGCCCGAGCACCCCGCAGAAGCUGCCGGUGCCCGCGCCCGGCGGCCGGCCCUCGCCCGCGCCCCCCGCAGCCGCGCAGCCGCCC